rfam:Mycobacterium tuberculosis H37Rv complete genome.
CCCUGUAGACACGGGAGUCCCGGGAGCGGGGUCUGAGAGUGGGCGCGCCUGCCCUUACCGUCACACCUGAUCCGGAUCAUGCCGGCGAAGGGAGGUCAAGGAUGGCGUCCG